AGUGAACGCUGGCGGUAGGCCUAACACAUGCAAGUCGAACGGCAGCACAGUAAGAGCUUGCUCUUACGGGUGGCGAGUGGCGGACGGGUGAGGAAUACAUCGGAAUCUACUUUUUCGUGGGGGAUAACGUAGGGAAACUUACGCUAAUACCGCAUACGACCUACGGGUGAAAGCAGGGGAUCUUCGGACCUUGCGCGAUUGAAUGAGCCGAUGUCGGAUUAGCUAGUUGGCGGGGUAAAGGCCCACCAAGGCGACGAUCCGUAGCUGGUCUGAGAGGAUGGUCAGCCACCCUGGAACUGAGACGCGGUCCAGACUCCUACGGGAGGCAGCAGUGGUGAAUAUUGGACAAUGGGCGCAAGCCUGAUCCAGCCAUACCGCGUGGGUGAAGAAGGCCUUCGGGUUGUAAAGCCCUUUUGUUGGGAAAGAAAAGCAGCAGGUUAAUACCCCGCUGUUCUGACGGUACCCAAAUAAUAAGCACCGGCUAACUUCGUG
rnacentral:rRNA from 1 species